CCGUCAGAAAAAAAAAAAAAAGGACUGAAAAAAGGCCCAAGAAGAUGGCGGUACUGGCGGGGCGGGGGCGGUGGCUUGGGUUUGAAUUCUAGCGGCGCCAGCGGAGUCAGGACGAUCAACUCCGCAGAGCUGGGGCGGGGGACGGUCCCGCCAAGUCCAGGGAGCUGCAGCCAACUGCUGCCAUCGCCAUGGACUCGGUGUUAGGGGAGGACGUCACCCUGCCAGUGGGGCUCAACGGCAGCAGUGUUCUUAUUUCAAAUUUACCAGAUGGUUCAGACAUUGAUCCCAAUUUUGGUCUGGGAAGCAAUGUGUUCCCAAAUGCUUCAGAAGAAACUGUGUCUCCCACCAGAGUACGAAACAUGAAAGACUUUGAAAAUCAAAUCACUGACUUGAAGAAAGAAAAUUUCAACUUGAAGCUUCGCAUCUAUUUCCUUGAGGAACGGAUACAGCAGAAAUUUGACAGCCCCAAUGAAGAUGUCUAUAAAAUUAACAUUGAGUUGAAAGUGGAGCUGGAAAGCCUGAAACGUGAAUUGCAGGAGAGGGAGUAUCUCCUCAUCAAAGCCUCCAAAGCGGUUGAAAGCCUGGCAGAAGGGGGUGGUUCAGAAAUUCAGCGUGUGAAAGAGGAUGCUCACAAAAAGAUGCAGCAAGUUGAAGACCACCUAACAAGAAAAAUAUUCCAUCUAGAAGAGGACGUCAAAGCAGCCCAGGCAGAAGUGGAAAAGGCCUUUGCAAUGGCAGAGAAGGAAAAGGUUCUCAGAAUGGGUUUGGAAGAAAAACUUUCAUCUCUGAAGACGGUACAGCAGGGAGAUAUGGAGGAGGCCCUAUCUGAGGAAGACAAAGACAGACUGAUAGAGGAUUUGAGACUGACUUUGAAGAAAAAAGAUGCUUUAAUUCAGGAACUUGAAGAGGCAAAAUCUCAAAUGGGAUCUCCUGAUGAGAAGUCGUCAUCUGGAAAACUCAGAGAUCUUACUGCUGCUUUCAGGGAAGAAAAGGAAUUAGAGAUAGAGGCUAUUCAAAUGGAACUUAGAAAUGAAAGAAAUUGCUUUGAAAAGAAAAUUCUGUCUUUCCAGGAGGACAUAAAAGAAAAAGAAAAAGAAAUCGCUCUUGAAAAGAAAAAUGGUUUGAAGAGGGAUAAAACAAUUCAGGGUCUAACUGUGGCCUUAAAAACAAAAGAUAAAGAGAUUGAAGAACUUACAUCUGAAAUUGAGGAGUUGACUACUUCCUUGACUAAAGCAAGAGAAGCUACUCACAGUGCCCAAAUAGAAAAAAUCAAGGGGACUGAAGAUUUUGAGACCAUUUUGCUGGAAAAAGAAACCCUUUUAACACAGCUGCAUGCUGAAAAUCGGAGGAAAGAUACUGAGAACCACAAACUACAAAGAGCCAUUGAAAAGUUUAAUCAAGAUCUAGAUGAUUUUCAGCAUGAGAGGGAAAAAUUGGAGAAAGAGUUGGAUGAAGCCCGACGACAGAAGAGUCAUGGAGACAAAACCAUCAAUGACCUUAGAAAUCAAGUAGAGAAAUUACAUGGUGAAAUGAUUGAGAAAGAGAAGUCAGUGGAACAACGUUACAGUAUCCUUUUGAGUGAAAGUAAUCAGAAAUUGCAGAGCCAGGAACAAGUUAUGAAAUGCUUAACAGACGAUGUCAAUCAGAAGGAUAUCUUAUUGCAGCGACUCGAUGGGAAGAUCAAAGAAAAAGAUGUAGAACUUGAACAGCUUUGUAAUAGGCUAAAUCAUCUUUUAAAAGCUAAGGAAGAUCUUGAAUUGAAGAACGAAGACUUAACAGAAAAGUAUGCUCAACAGCUAUCAGUCAGAAAAGCCCUAUCCUCAGAGGAAAAGCAAGGAUCUGAGUAUGAAGAGCUAAUUCAUGCUUUAAAGAAAGAGCAGCACAUUUAUUCUGAUUUAGUAAAAGCCCUGAAAGACUCAGAUAGUAUCAACAAUCUGCAGGCUGAAUUAAACAACAUUUUUUCACUGCGAAAGCAAUUAGAAGAUGAUGUUCUCUCUUACCAGACCUUGAGGAAGACCCUAGAAGAUCAAAUUAAUGAAAUUAAAAGGCAAGAAGAAGAAUCCAUUUCGUUUUAUAGUGAUCAGACAUCCUAUUUGAGUAUUUGUAUUGGUGAUCAUGAUCGUUUCCAGACAGAACACUUGUCUCUAGAAGAACUUAAACAAAGGGUUAAUGAACUAGUGAUGAUUGUAAAGGAAUUGCAUUCAGAUAACCAAGACCUCAAGAAAACCCUUUUUGAACUCUCCUGUUUAGGUACACAGGAAAGUGGUUCAUUAGCCCAGAGUGAGAUCCUGGGGAGUAAGGAUGAUGAGGAGGAUGCUACAAAAGCUGAAGAUAUAGAUGAUGAUGAGAAGAACUUACUCAGCAGUCCCCAUUCAAUGUGGGGCAGUGAGACUACUUUGGAAUAUUCUAAACCUUUCAGUAAAAAUGGAUAUUCAAAGAAUCAAGAUGCUUCUCAGCUAGAUUUUGAUGUAGUUGGUGAUUCUUAUAGCCACAAAGACAAAUGUCAACAUGGAGGUGAGGAGAUGAAGUUGUUCCCUUCGCCUUUAAGUGAAAAUAGAACAUCAUUGCUGGAGCCCAGACCAGAGCUUAUGAAAGCUGUAAGUGAACUUCUCCUGGAGCAUCUGGGCAUGACUGAACAGGAACUUUCUGGCUGUGAUCUAGAGGAUAAGAAUGAAAAGACUCUUAAGCAAAUAAUUAUUCAGUUAAGAACUGAACUCCGACGUUUUAAACAGGUCAAUAAGUUUUUAAGGCAGCAUAUAGACCUGAAAUCGGUAUUUGAUGGAAAGGAAAGAUUUUAUCCUGCUGCAACAGCACACCUUAAUAAGGCAAUUGAAUUGUCUAUGGUAGAAGUGAAAGAUUCAGUUACACAAACAACGAACCCAGAGAGCUACACCAUGAAAUUCAGACACGAAGGGAAGAAAGAUGCUGCAGAAGAAAAACCAAAAUAUUCAGUAUUAAAUGCAGAACAUCAGCAUGAAAAUGUAUAUAAGAUGCCAGAACAGCACAAUGUUCUUCCUCUUCCAAGCACAAUACAUAAAAGCACUAAGAAAUCCCGCUUACCCAUUCCAUUAAAAUCAUCUAGAUCAUUAGGAAGUGUAAACUUAAACUCUUCUACCCAGGAGACAAUGGUUUAUCUACAGAACCAGAUAGCUGAACUGCAUGGACAUCUCAAGGAAUGUUCAAUUCGAAACAAACAUCUUCAACAAAAGUUAUCUUUGACUGAAGCUCUGAUUGAAGAGAGACCAAUGCAAGACAAACUCUUGCUGAAUGCUGAGCCCUCGUCGAAAGCAGUUUGCCAAGAGAGCAAGGUGGAAUUAAAGGAUCCUGAAGGUGAUGCCGAUGGGAAGGAGGAAAAAGAGGAGGAUGAAAAUCAGAGAAAGAGUCCAGGUAAACCUGAACUAUGUCAGCUUAAAAACUUUGACAACUUGCCCUCAAACAAAGAGAGUCAUUGUGAAGAUUUUAUAGAUGGAGCUUCAACUGCGUCUUAUGAAAGUUCCAAGAAUCUUUCUCUUCAAGUAAAUGUGAAUGGAACAGAUCUUUCUGAUGAAUUUGAUGCAGAUGAUGCUGAUCAUUUAAAACAACGAAUUAGAGAUUUGAAAACUGAACUUGAAGGAUACCAGAAAUUCAUAUUUCAAUUGCAAGCUUCUAAACAGUCCCAGUGCAGUAAGGCUAUUAUCACAGUCUUGUGUGGGACUGAAGAAACCCAGGAAGGACAUAAUAAAUCUAAGGGUGGGACCCAUGAAGAAGAAAUGAAGACAUUCUCUAGUUUACAUCAAGUUCAAUAUGUAAAACACACCAAAAUCCUUCAUCCAUUGACUUCAGAGUUGGCUGAUGGGAUAGUGGAAGAACUAAAGCAACAGCUGGAAGAACAAGGAUCUGAAUUAAAGAAAGAGCAGAAUAUGAAUAUCAACCUUCUUGAGGAAGUACAUAAUCUUCAAAACAAACUCAGAGAAUCAUCCCCUACAAGAUACGAUUCAUUAGUUCAGUCCCAAGCUAGGGAGCUCUCCUCCCAACGGCAGCAGAUUAAAGACAGCCACAGCAUCUGUGUCAUUUAUCGUCAACAUAUGACCAACCUUAUUAAAGCUUUUGAGGAGUUGCUGCAGGCCAGUGAUGUUGAUUACUAUGUAGCUGAAGGCUUCCGGGAGCAGCUGAAUCAAAGCAUUCAGUUACUUGAGAAAUUGGAAAAGAUGUUUCUUAAUGGAAAAUCAUCUGAUAGAGAAGUCAGCAAACAUAAUGAAUUAAUCAAAAGGGCUUCAGAGGAUAUUACAACAUAUCCGAGUCUUAAUGAUAAACCAACCAUGCUACCAGCUAGUCAAGUGCUGUCAGAUUAUGAAAUAUCAGAAAAGUCUUCCUUUGAUUCUGGAGAACAUAAGCAAGAUAGUGAGGAUAUAGACAAGAGUUCUGUUGUGGCAAACAAUUUUUCUCAAGACUUAUUAAUGGAACAUCUGCAAGAAAUUCGAACUUUGAGACAACGUUUAGAAGAAUCCAUUAAAACAAACGACAGGCUGCGGAAACAGCUUGAACAUCAAGGGGGUGAACUUGAACAAGGUUCUGCAAACAUUUUUCUCCAUGGCUCAGAGCAACAUAAUUCUCUUACUUCAGAAAUUCAUUUCCUGAGGAAGCAGAAUCAAGCCCUCAAUGUGAUGCUUGCAAAAGGUUCACGAGAUAAACAAAAGGAAAAUGAAAAAUUACGAGAAUCCCUCUCCAGGAAGACCGUGAUCAUUGAACACCUUCAAAGGGAUUAUGAAUGUAUCAAGCAAGAAAAUGAAAGGUUGCAGAAACGAGUCAGUGAGAAAGAAAAAGACAACAGGCAUCUCACUCAUGCGAUUUAUAGCAGCCAUCAUGAGUUAAACAGGAUUCAGGCAGAAAUGAAGGUUCAACAACGGCAGUAUGCAGAGAAUGCCAAAUUAUUGCAAUCGCUCCGAGUUGAACUCAAGGUAUAUGAAAAGCUGGAAGAAGCAAACAGAAGACAGAUAGAACCCAGACAAGAUAUGUCAGAAGAAUGCAGAAAAGAGCAGAACCAUCUUCUGGACUUGCAUGAACUCCUGACAGAGAUACAGAAUUUGAGAGUUCAACUGGAAAGAAGCAUCGAGACAAAUAAUGCCCUGAGGAACAAGUUAGAGGAGCAGCUUUCAAAGGGAAUGGACACUAUGGCUGCAGUGUCUCCUUUGACCACUCCCAGCCUUCCCCAAAAAGAAUGGCAGCUUUGUCCAGGAAACAAUGAAAUGCUGCUUGAGCUUCUUGAUAUCUCUGACUAUGAGAAUACCUGCUGGAUCUGAAUUGGAGGAAGGAGAGCUGAAAACUCUCAGAACAGUUCCAUUCUUCACCUUUUCAAGGGAAGUUAGAAUACCGGCCAAAAAAAUAAACUUCAGUCAUUAAUUUUUUUUUUUUUUCUAGUGAUUUGGAGCAUUUUAAUGGUAUUACAUUUCUUUAUUUCUUUUUUAAAAUAAACUGUUCAUAUCAUUUGAUAACUUUGAUGAAAGGCUCUUUGGCUUUAAAACUGUCUCAAUUUCCUGAAUAUAGAGAUGUUUGAUGUACAAAUUUUAUUUCUUUCACACAUUUUCUCUUCUAGCUUUUUUCAUUUUAGUUGUGUAAAAGCUUUUAAAUUUUAUAUGAAGUGUUCCAGUAAAAUUUAUUGCAAUUUUAAGCAAUAAUUUUUUAAAUUUUUAGUCAAUCAAUCCAUACAUUUUUUUUUUUUUUUUUUGCUGAGGCAAUUGAGAUUAAAUGACUUGCCCAGGGUUACACAGCUAGGAAAUGUUAAGUGUUUGAGGUCAUAUUUGAACUCAGGUUCUCCUGAUUUCAGGGCUGGUAUUUUAUCCACUGCACCACCUAGUUGCCCCAAUUUUAAGCAAUUAAAACUUAAGACUGCACUUUUGGAGAAAAUUAUAUUUCAUUAUACAAGUAGUCUUUCGAUCAGAAUUAUAUAUUUAUUUUUAGUUUGUGAAUUCUUAAAAGCAUAGUUCUUAUAAGCAAUUCCUUCUUAUCUCUUUUUAUGAAGCAAUCUUUUAUUUUUCGAUUGCUUAUCCAUUUAUAGUGUCAUGUUGGCAUGUGCUGUAAGAUGUGAUCUAAAUCUAAUUUUUGUCAGUUUGCUUUCCAGUCUUCAGGGGAUCAUAGAUUUAGAGUUAGAAGGAACUUCAGAGACCAUCAAUUGCAAAUCUUCAUUUUACAGAUGAAGAAACUGAGGCUCAGAGAGGUUAAAUGACUUGCCCAGGGUCACACAACUAUUGAUAAUGAGCCCUCUACAGAAGACAAGGAACAAUGUGAACUGUCAGAUCAGAGUUUGGCACAGCUACCACAAUCAGAAAAGCCAGAAGUGUCUGGAG